AGCGCCGGUAAGGUGAUAUGAACCGUUAUAACCGGCGAUACCCGAAUGGGGAAACCCAGUGUGAUUCGUCACACUAUCAUUAACUGAAUCCAUAGGUUAAUGAGGCGAACCGGGGGAACUGAAACAUCUAAGUACCCCGAGGAAAAGAAAUCAACCGAGAUUCCCCCAGUAGCGGCGAGCGAACGGGGAGGAGCCCAGAGCCUGAAUCAGCAUGUGUGUUAGUGGAAGCGUCUGGAAAGGCGCGCGAUACAGGGUGACAGCCCCGUACACAAAAGCGCAUGUGCUGUGAGCUCGAUGAGUAGGGCGGGACACGUGGUAUCCUGUCUGAAUAUGGGGGGACCAUCCUCCAAGGCUAAAUACUCCUGACUGACCGAUAGUGAACCAGUACCGUGAGGGAAAGGCGAAAAGAACCCCGGCGAGGGGAGUGAAAAAGAACCUGAAACCG
rnacentral:rRNA from 1 species